rnacentral:rRNA from 1 species
CCUACGGGAGGCAGCAGUGGGGGAUAUUGCACAAUGGGGGGAACCCUGAUGCAGCGACGCCGCGUGUGGGAAGACGGUCCUCUGGAUUGUAAACCACUGUCCCCAGGGACGAAAAUGACGGUACCUGGGGAGGAAGCUCCGGCUAACUACGUGCCAGCAGCCGCGGUAAUACGUAGGGAGCGAGCGUUGUCCGGAAUUACUGGGUGUAAUGGGAGCGUAGGCGGGGAUGCAAGUUGGGUGUAAAAACUACCGGCUCAACUGGUAGUCGCACUCGAAACUGCAGCUCUUGAGUGGAGUAGAGGCAGGCGGAAUGCCUGGUGUAGCGGUGAAAUGCGUAGAUAUUAGGAAGAACACCAGUGGCGAAGGCAGCCUGCUGGGCUUUUACUGACGCUGAGGCUCGAAAGUGUGGGGAGCAAACAGGAUUAGAUACCCCUGUAGUC